UUCCUCUGCUAAUGGUGGAAAGAGGUUUGCCACAAAAGGGCACUUUGAAUCGUUUAAAAGAGCUUGAUGUUCUGCGACAACAUAGUCUUUGUUCUUAUCAAGGAAUUGAUCAGCUUGCAUAAUGGUUGAUGGUGAAUGCAGUGCGUGCAAGUUUUGGCUUGCUAAAACGUUUGUGGCUUUUGUAUGUUUGGUACAUCUUCUGAGCAAAGAUAAUUUUCCAACCAAAAGAAAAGAAGGAAACAGAUGUACCAUGCUUCAUCAAGUAGCGCAACUAUUCCGCCGGGUUUCUGCAUUGAAACAGGGUUUGAAUUACUCAUUGUGGGUAUAGUGUGAAUGCCAAGGGCGAUGUGUCUUUUACCUCCAAGACCUGCUGCUCGACGCUCCGCUCUCUCCGCUAACCAAGAUCGAUUGGCUUCCAUGGUCAUUUAUGAUUGCCCUGAUAUUGCCUCAAUGGCAGUUUCAUAUUAGUACACUUCAAUUAGAAUGUGAUGAUAGCACUCUAAACUCUUUACACACUACCUGUAGCAAGCAUCUGCAACUGCAAAAAGAUGAGGACUUAGCUCACCGAAAGCAGCGCCCUUGUACUGUUCCAUCAUGUGGACAUCAUACAGAUGUGGAAGUCUCCGAAAGGGGUUCACGGCUAUCAAUAUAUUUCCAGUGUUGAUCAGGAAGAUAGAACGUACAUAAAUCUCAUUCAGUGCAUAGCGAGCUGCGAGGUUAUUCAGAACUCCUGGUUCAUGGAGGUAAGCCAAUUUGGUCAUGUCAUCCACUCCAGCCUGAGGAGCCUCUGUAUCCUUCGGGUAUAUACUCGACAGACUAGCCACGACCUGUGUAAUUGAUCGAGACUCGUGA